UACAGAGGUCCCAAGCGUUGUUCGGAUUCAUUGGGCGUAAAGGGUGCGUAGGUGGCGCCGUAAGUGGGGUGUGAAAUUUCGGAGCUUAACUCCGAAACUGCAUUCCAUACUGCGGUGCUUGAGGACUGGAGAGGAGACUGGAAUUUACGGUGUAGCAGUGAAAUGCGUAGAGAUCGUAAGGAAGACCAGUGGCGAAGGCGAGUCUCUGGACAGUUACUGACGCUGAGGCACGAAGGCCAGGGGAGCAAACGGG
rnacentral:rRNA from 1 species